rnacentral:rRNA from 1 species
CACGUAGGGUGCGAGCGUUGUCCGGAAUUAUUGGGCGUAAAGAGCUCGUAGGCGGUGUGUCGCGUCGGCCGUGAAAACCUGCAGCUUAACUGUGGGCUUGCGGUCGAUACGGGCAUCACUGGAGUUCGGCAGGGGAGACUGGAAUUCCUGGUGUAGCGGUGAAAUGCGCAGAUAUCAGGAGGAACACCGGUGGCGAAGGCGGGUCUCUGGGCAUUGACCUGACGCUGAGGAGCGAAAGUGUGGGGAGCGAACAGG